rnacentral:rRNA from 1 species
AGUGAACGCUGGCGGUAGGCCUAACACAUGCAAGUCGAACGCCUCGCAAGGGGAGUGGCAGACGGGUGAGUAACGCGUGGGAACAUACCCUUUUCUACGGAAUAGCUCUGGGAAACUGGAAUUAAUACCGUAUACGCCCUACGGGGGAAAGAUUUAUCGGGGAAGGAUUGGCCCGCGUUGGAUUAGCUAGUUGGUGGGGUAAAGGCCUACCAAGGCGACGAUCCAUAGCUGGUCUGAGAGGAUGAUCAGCCACAUUGGGACUGAGACACGGCCCAAACUCCUACGGGAGGCAGCAGUGGGGAAUAUUGGACAAUGGGCGCAAGCCUGAUCCAGCCAUGCCGCGUGAGUGAUGAAGGCCUUAGGGUUGUAAAGCUCUUUCACCGAUGAAGAUAAUGACGGUAGUCGGAGAAGAAGCCCCGGCUAACUUCGUGCCAGCCGCCGCGGUAA